rnacentral:lncRNA from 1 species
CCCAGGACCCAGGCAUCUCUCCCAGCCAAAGUCUGUGUGCGGAAGGUUCUAGAGGCCUCAGCGCAGGCUCCUUGUCAGAAAGUGCAGUGGGGCCAGUAGAGGCCUGUUGCCUGGUCAUCAUGGCCACAGAGAGCAAGGUCGCCGCUGAAGAACUGUGCUCCCUGCUCAGCCAGGUCUUCCAGAUCGUCUACACAGAGUCCACCAUCGACUUUCUGGACCGAGCAAUAUUCGACGGGGCCUCCACCCCUACCCACCACCUGUCAGUGCACAGCGGUAUGUGGGAUGGAGGAGGGGGAGUGGUUGUCAGUGCACAGCGGUGUGGGGAGCGGUUGUCAGUGCACAGCGGCGUGGGGAGCGGUUGUCAGUGCACAGCGGCAUGUUGGACGGAGGAGGGGGAGCGGUUGUCACUGCAAAGCGGUAUGUGGGAUGGAAGCGAGGGGGUGCUGUGAGCGUUCACAGGAGCUGUUCCCAGACAGGGCUGCAGGGGAACUGGGCAGGCGGAGCAUGCUUUGAGGACCCUCCCUUUUGGUAUACCUGGGCUGCUCUCAGCGUGUGGUCCCUUGCAAGACCGCAGGCAGACUGCUUGAGGUUGCUGAGGUUUUGUGGGAGGCUGAGAGACCAGGAGACUGGAGAGAGGCAGGAAGAGCCAGAGG